rnacentral:misc_RNA from 1 species
GAUGAAGAACGCAGCGAAAUGCGAUAAGUAAUGUGAAUUGCAGAAUUCAGUGAAUCAUCGAAUCUUUGAACGCACAUUGCGCCCCUUGGUAUUCCGAGGGGCAUGCCUGUUCGAGCGUCAUUAUAACCCCUCAAGCUCAGCUUGGUGUUGGGGCCUGCUGCACUGGCAGCCCUUAAAAUCAGUGGCGGCGCCAUCUGGCUCUAAGCGUAGUAAUUCUUCUCGCUAUGGAGUCCUGGUGGAUGCUUGCCAUCAACCCCCAAUUUUUCUAUGGUUGACCUCGGAUCAGGUAGGGUUACCCGCUGAACUUAAGCAUAUCAAUAAGCGGAGGA